rnacentral:rRNA from 1 species
GAUGAACGCUAGCUAUAGGCUUAACACAUGCAAGUCGAGGGGAAACGGCAUUAUGUGCUUGCACAUUUUGGACGUCGACCGGCGCACGGGUGAGUAUCGCGUAUCCAACCUGCCCUUUACUUGGGGAUACCCCGUUGAAAGACGGCCUAAUACCCGAUGUAAUUCAUUGAUGGCAUCAGAUAUGAAUAAAAGAUUUAUCGGUAAAGGAUGGGGAUGCGUCUGAUUAGCUUGUUGGUGAGGUAAUGGCUCACCAAGGCAACGAUCAGUAGGGGUUCUGAGAGGAAGGUCCCCCACAUUGGAACUGAGACACGGUCCAAACUCCUACGGGAGGCAGCAGUGAGGAAUAUUGGUCAAUGGGCGCAAGCCUGAACCAGCCAAGUAGCGUGCAGGAAGACGGCCCUAUGGGUUGUAAACUGCUUUUAUACGAGAAUAAUUUGAUGCACGUGUGCGUUAUUGCAUGUAUCGUAUGAAUAAGGACCGGCUAAUUCCGUGCCAGCAGCCGCGGUAAUACGGAAGGUCCAGGCGUUAUCCGGAUUUAUUGGGUUUAAAGGGAGUGUAGGCGGUUUGUUAAGCGUGUUGUGAAAUUUAGGUGCUCAACAUUUAACUUGCAGCGCGAACUGUCAGACUUGAGUACACGCAACGUAUGCGGAAUUCAUGGUGUAGCGGUGAAAUGCUUAGAUAUCAUGAAGAACUCCGAUUGCGAAGGCAGCAUACGGGAGUGUAACUGACGCUUAAGCUCGAAGGUGCGGGUAUCGAACAGG